AUGGCUCAGAUUGAACGCUGGCGGCAGGCCUAACACAUGCAAGUCGAGCGGCAGCACGGGUACUUGUACCUGGUGGCGAGCGGCGGACGGGUGAGUAAUGCCUAGGAAUCUGCCUGGUAGUGGGGGAUAACGUUCGGAAACGAACGCUAAUACCGCAUACGUCCUACGGGAGAAAGCAGGGGACCUUCGGGCCUUGCGCUAUCAGAUGAGCCUAAGUCGGAUUAGCUAGUUGGUGAGGUAAUGGCUCACCAAGGCGACGAUCCGUAACUGGUCUGAGAGGAUGAUCAGUCACACUGGAACUGAGACACGGUCCAGACUCCUACGGGAGGCAGCAGUGGGGAAUAUUGGACAAUGGGCGAAAGCCUGAUCCAGCCAUGCCGCGUGUGUGAAGAAGGUCUUCGGAUUGUAAAGCACUUUAAGUUGGGAGGAAGGGCAGUUACCUAAUACGUAAUUGUUUUGACGUUACCGACAGAAUAAGCACCGGCUAACUCUGUGCCAGCAGCCGCGGUAAUACAGAGGGUGCAAGCGUUAAUCGGAAUUACUGGGCGUAAAGCGCGCGUAGGUGGUUCGUUAAGUUGGAUGUGAAAUCCCCGGGCUCAACCUGGGAACUGCAUUCAAAACUGUCGAGCUAGAGUAUGGUAGAGGGUGGUGGAAUUUCCUGUGUAGCGGUGAAAUGCGUAGAUAUAGGAAGGAACACCAGUGGCGAAGGCGACCACCUGGACUGAUACUGACACUGAGGUGCGAAAGCG
rnacentral:rRNA from 1 species